CUGUGCCUUGAGAUGGUCAUGAGGAUGCUCCAUUCACAUCUUUACUCAGAUAUCCUCUCCUUGCCGAGUCCUUCUGAUUCCAAUAUCCUUGCAAUUUGAGACACCAAGGAAUUAAAUCUUACACCAUGAGUAGAUCUUUGGAAGAGAACACGGAUCAGUGGAUGUCAGAUGUUAACUAAAGAGCAAAAUACCCACAUGUUUCCUCACCAAAGUUAAAGUGAACAUCUCAUGCCCUGAUACUGGGACAUUCUUGGUUGAUAAACAGUUUUCAUAGUCUUCA